rnacentral:lncRNA from 1 species
AAGUUACAGUGAGCUAUGACCAUGCCACUGGCAUGCCAGCUUGGGCAACAGAGCAAGACCCUGUCUCUAAAAAUUAACCAAGUAAAAGAUCAUGCGGGUAGCAGUGGGUGUGGUGAGAAGUAUCAGGCAAUUGAAGCACAGAGUGGUAAUCUAAGAUAGGAGAACACAGGUGGAACAGGUUUUGGUGAGAAGGAGGAGCACAGGUGGAACAGCUUUUGGGGAGACAAUCAGCAGUUUUAUUUGGGAUAUGUGAAGUUUUUGGUGUCUGGUAGACCUCCUGGUGGAGAAGCUGUGUAGCAGGGGCCCAUAUAAGCCUGGAGUUCAGGAGAAAGCCUGGGCUGGAGGUACACGUUGGGGAGUUGCUGACAGGUAGGUUUAUUUAAAAAACGAAGUCAAAUGAAAUCACUGAGGGAGUGAGGGUAGGGAGAAAGAGAACCAAAUAUUGAGGGUGGAGGCACUCUCACUUAAGAAGAUGGGGAGAACAGGAGGAACCUGCAAAGGAGAAUGAAAAGGAGUGGAGUCAGGUGUCUCGGCAGCCAAAGGAGGAAGUGGUCGCCUCUGACAGACUGUGCCGACAGGCCAAGUAAGGCACAGCUAAAGAAAUGUGUUACUGACAAGCCUGCAGGCCACAUGGCGAGAUGGAAAGCAAGCAGUAAAGACCAAAGAAACUCGUUGAGGACAAUGGAAGAUGGGCUCAGAAGAAAAUGGAUACAGCUGAAGCUAGAUGGGUCAUGGGUGAAAGCAGGACAGGACCUCAUUCUCCAACAGAUACCAAGGAGAGCAGGUUUAGUGGAGAAAAGCAAUGGAUUUGGAGUGAGGACGUAUGUGUGAAGGUCCUGAUGAGCAAACUUUAGGUCCUUCAGCAACUCAGGUGACCUUUCUGGACCUCUUCUGAAAUGGGGACAACAAUGCUUGCUCAGAGGGCUGCUGAGAAGAUCAGGUAAGUCUGUGUGUGUGUGUGUGUAUGUCUUUUGCAAUCUAUAAAGCACUAUUCAAAGAUAAAAGACUAGAACUGUCACCAGAAAAGUGAAGACUUUUAUCAACAUGUGAGGGGAUAAAAGCAAAACAGACAGAGACAGACAGGAUUAGAAAGAGCCAGGCCACAACCUCCUUUAGCAAGAGAAAAUCUAGAAAUGCUCUCUGUGAAGACAAAGCUUCACUUGCGGUUCUCAUCCGUUUCUUUCUUCAGGUAUUCUGCCCAUCAGAUCUCUCAAGGAGGAGGAUGACAGGAUUUUAAACCUGAAGGCAUCAGGACAAAAAACAGCAGCACAGGGGAUCCACAAACAGGAUUCUUUCAACUGAAUAAUGAAGUCUUCUCCCUCCAGCAUGAUGGCAGACUACAUCUUCAUAAGGGCCAACCCACUCAAUAACGACGAGGUCCAGGAUUAAACCUACUUUUUAAUGCAGUGUGAAACUGCAAGAUGUCAGGGAAAUCCCAAGGGACUAUUCCCCUACCCCACACCUCAGCAAACUAAAACAAAACCAUGAGCUGAAACCAGAGGUGAAAAUACUGAAGGUAAGCAAAUACGAAUGGCGAAGUGGCCUGGAAAACAAACGCCAUAUUGACAGUUGAUGAAGAGAUCAAGCCUUGGAACAGAACGAGGUGAGGUGGCUGAACCUGAGGCACUCACCUCCAACACAAAAGGAGGCUAGCAUUGGUCCCUUCUAGGGAGGGAGGAUGGAUGGCAAUGAUCCCAGCUCAGGCAGAAGCAAUUGUAAAUCCUUGUUGGAGAAAAGUAUCCCUAAAGCAGUCUCUCAGGAUUAGCACCGAUUAAGAUGAAGCAAGUGGAGCUCAUGAUCUAAGACCAUGAACACACCAGAAAAGUGAAGUUAAAAAGAGUAGAAAAAACAAACAAGAUUCAGACCUUUAAGGACUUUAGAGUUUGGAACUUCCAGACACAAGACAAAAAAUAACAACGUAAAAAAUGUUUUUAAGAAAUAGUUGACC